UACGUAGGGGGCGAGCGUUAUCCGGAUUUAUUGGGCGUAAAGAGCGUGUAGGCGGCUAGGUAGGUCCGUUGUGAAAACUCGAGGCUCAACCUCGAGACGUCGAUGGAAACCAUCUAGCUAGAGUCCGGAAGAGGAGAGUGGAAUUCCUGGUGUAGCGGUGAAAUGCGCAGAUAUCAGGAAGAACACCCGUGGCGAAGGCGGCUCUCUGGUACGUGACUGACGCUGAGACGCGAAAGCGUGGGGAGCGAACAGG
rnacentral:rRNA from 1 species